UUCCAGCUCCAAUAGCGUAUAUUAAAGUUGUUGCAGUUAAAAAGCUCGUAGUUGGAUUUCUGAUGGAUGGGAUUGGUCCACCUCGCGGUGCGCACUGGUUCUGUCUGUUAUUCUCUUGUUGGCGGAUGGUGGCCUUAGUUGGCUGCUGUUUGUGCGCAAGACCUUUACUUUGAAAAAAUUAGAGUGUUCAAAGCAGGCGAUACGCUUGAAUACAUUAGCAUGGAAUAAUGGAAUAGGACUUUGGUUCUAUUUUGUUGGUUUCUAGGACCGAAGUAAUGAUUAAUAGGGACAGUUGGGGGCAUUAGUAUUUAAUUGUCAGAGGUGAAAUUCUUGGAUUUAUGAGAGACUAACUACUGCGAAAGCAUUUGCCAAGGAUGUUUUCAUCA
rnacentral:rRNA from 1 species